rnacentral:tRNA from 1 species
ACCUUUUUAGUAUAAUAGUAUAAGUGACUUCCAAUCACUUGGCCUCAGCUGACCCUGAGAAAAGGUA